UCCCCUCCUGCCUCCUCUUGUCCCCUCCUGCCCGUUUCUGAAAGGGCACAGCUGCAAAGUCUGGCCCUGGCAAGACUCGGAAGUUCCUUGUAUCCUGAGGAGUCUGCAUGAGCCUGAGCUCACGGAGCUGAAGUCAGCUCACGUUUGAGAAGACGUUGUUCUCACAGGAGCUGCCCGGGAUCCAAGAGGUGGGGACCACGGCACUAGCCAAGCCCUUCCAGCCUCAGGCCCGAAGAGCCAGGCAUCCGCACCAUUCCUUCACUAACGCUAGAGCAGGAACUCUCUCUCUAAACACGCACUAAAAGGCUGAGUGUUGGCCUCAGUGUGGUUCCUACACCAGACACUCCAAGUUCCAAGGCCUGUUUCUAUCCCUGAGCAGCCCCCUCUCCAGGUUCCUAACUAACUGUCUUUCAAAUAACCUUCAGCAUCUGCUAAUGGAUGGACGCCUCACCCAUGGAACCUAGAAACCUGGCCUAAGGGCAGAUGCCUUCAUGUGCAGGAAAGGACAGACAUCUGAACGGCACUUAUUCGGCCUGAGCUCUGUGAUCGGCUGUGGGCAUCCCUGGAGAAGAGCCUCCUCUCAAAGCUGCUUGCCUUAUAAACAUGCAAAUCAGGGGUGGCCUCAACAGCAACAGUGACUCCACAAGUGCAUGACACCCAAGGACUCAGGUGAGUCUGCCCACGGGUUCCCCAUCGCACCCCCAGGUCCUUGGGCCUCGAUAGUUGGGAGAAGAGGAACAAGAACAUGCCCAAGAGUUGGGCAGAGCAGAGCCACUCACCACUGUCGGGCUCAUAGGGCAGCCAGCUGUGCUUGGCAUCCUGGUGGGUAUAGUAGGAGUUUCGCUUGGCACACUGCUGGGCUCGGAAGUCCUCGUAGGGCCCAGGACAGUCCUCACUGUUGCAGAUCUGGUACUCAAACAUGGACCCUGAGCACGGGCGGCCUCCAUAGGCUGGACUGCAGUGGCAGAGAGACCAGGGUCUCAUGCAGCUCAGGCUAGCUUGGACUAUGAGGAUGGCUUUGACCUUUGGAUCAUCUCGUCUCCACCUCCUGAGUAUUGGGACUACAGUGCUUACUGCAGACCGUGGAGGCACUCGGUCAAGACAAAGAGUUCUCCACAUCCACCCCCGUUUCAUAAUAGGAUAUAGUAAACUAAAGUGCAUCAAAGAGAUUUGGUUUUUGAACCAGAAGAGCUGACAUCCAAGUCCUGACCAUUUGGCCUUGGUUCGGGCACUGGGCUUUGCUCUACCUUGACUUCCCCCUUGAAAGGUGGGAUCAUCGGAGCUCACCUCCAGCUGUGACAAAGCAAAGGAGAGCAAUGACACUCUUCUCGAUUAGGUUAAGAGGAUUAGAAAAGACGGUCAAUACAGAGCUGGGGAGAUGGCACCUCUGGCUACUCCUGUGGGUUCAGUGCCUAGCAUCCACAUGGCGGCUCACAAGUCUAUCACUCCAGUUCCCAGAGAUCUGAUGCCCUCUCCUGGCCUCUUCAGGUACUGCAAGCACACAGUGCAUAUACCUACACACAGGCAAAUAAUCACACAAAAUAAAAAUAAAUCUUUUUAAAAAGACUUUUAAGCUGGGUGUGAUGGCAUACACUUCUAAUCUCUAGCCCUUGGUAGGCAGAAGUAGGUGGAUCCCUAUGAGUUUGGGGCCAGCCUGAUCUACAUACUGAGUUUCAGGCCAGCCAAAGCUACCUAGUGAGACCCUGUUUCAAACAAAACAAAACAAAAACCUUUCUAUGUAAAGUAUCCAAGUAUAGGAGGCAACAGUGCCCUGCCCAGAGACUCUAAGAUAACUCUCCAGGUGUAAUGAACUCUCCACUUGAACACACAACAUCCUGCACAUGGUACUUAGGAUACUUUUUAAUAAUAGCAGUUGUUGCCUCUGGAGUGCUUAACCCAUGCUCCAGUGCGGGCAUACAAAUUAUUCCAUUUAAGCCUCAUAAAGCAAAAAGGUAUUUGUUGAGGUUUUGGUCUUUGGCUAUGUAUUUUAAUGUUAAAUACUGGUUGCCCCCAAGGAUGAGAAACUCUGCACUUAUAUCAAGUAAUGCUAUGGGACCUUGUUUCUUUUCUUUUUUUUUAAGAUUUAUUUAUUGAUUAUACAUAAGUACACUGUAGCUGUCUUCAGACACUCCAGAAGAGGGAGUCAGAUCUUGUUACCGAUGGUUGUGUGCCACCAUGUGGUUGCUGGGAUUUGAACUCCUGACCUUCGGAAGAGCAGUUGGGUGCUCUUACCCACUGAGCCAUCUCACCAGCCCCGUGACCUUGUUUCUUAAUGUACAUCUAUUGACUAAAUAAAGAUGCCAACAGCUAUAGCUGGGCAGAAGAAAAUAGGUGGGGUUUUGGUUUCAGGGCUUGGGGUCUGAGGCAGGACCACAAGAGAAAGAAAAGAGAGGAGAGAAGGUGGAGAGAGGAGAGGACACCCUAAGGUAUAUGAGUCAUGAAAAUAUGGUCAUGAGGGCUGGCCAAUCGGAGUUAAGAGCAGCCCAAAUGGAA